AUGCUGGAGGUAUCAGAAGUGCGAAUGCUGACAUAAGUAACGAUAAAGCGGGUGAAAAGCCCGCUCGCCGGAAGACCAAGGGUUCCUGUCCAACGUUAAUCGGGGCAGGGUGAGUCGACCCCUAAGGCGAGGCCGAAAGGCGUAGUCGAUGGGAAACAGGUUAAUAUUCCUGUACUUGGUGUUACUGCGAAGGGGGGACGGAGAAGGCUAUGUUGGCCGGGCGACGGUUGUCCCGGUUUAAGCGUGUAGGCUGGUUUUCCAGGCAAAUCCGGAAAAUCAAGGCUGAGGCGUGAUGACGAGGCACUACGGUGCUGAAGCAACAAAUGCCCUGCUUCCAGGAAAAGCCUCUAAGCAUCAGGUAACAUCAAAUCGUACCCCAAACCGACACAGGUGGUCAGGUAGAGAAUACCAAGGCGCUUGAGAGAACUCGGGUGAAGGAACUAGGCAAAAUGGUGCCGUAACUUCGGGAGAAGGCACGCUGAUAUGUAGGUGAAGUCCCUCGCGGAUGGAGCUGAAAUCAGUCGAAGAUACCAGCUGGCUGCAACUGUUUAUUAAAAACACAGCACUGUGCAAACACGAAAGUGGACGUAUACGGUGUGACGCCUGCCCGGUGCCGGAAGGUUAAUUGAUGGGGUCAGCGCAAGCGAAGCUCUUGAUCGAAGCCCCGGUAAACGGCGGCCGUAACUAUAACGGUCCUAAGGUAGCGAAAUUCCUUGUCGGGUAAGUUCCGACCUGCACGAAUGGCGUAAUGAUGGCCAGGCUGUCUCCACCCGAGACUCAGUGAAAUUGAACUCGCUGUGAAGAUGCAGUGUACCCGCGGCAAGACGGAAAGACCCCGUGAACCUUUACUAUAGCUUGACACUGAACAUUGAGCCUUGAUGUGUAGGAUAGGUGGGAGGCUUUGAAGUGUGGACGCCAGUCUGCAUGGAGCCGACCUUGAAAUACCACCCUUUAAUGUUUGAUGUUCUAACGUUGACCCGUGAUCCGGGUUGCGGACAGUGUCUGGUGGGUAGUUUGACUGGGGCGGUCUCCUCCUAAAGAGUAACGGAGGAGCACGAAGGUUGGCUAAUCCUGGUCGGACAUCAGGAGGUUAGUGCAAUGGCAUAAGCCAGCUUGACUGCGAGCGUGACGGCGCGAGCAGGUGCGAAAGCAGGUCAUAGUGAUCCGGUGGUUCUGAAUGGAAGGGCCAUCGCUCAACGGAUAAAAGGUACUCCGGGGAUAACAGGCUGAUACCGCCCAAGAGUUCAUAUCGACGGCGGUGUUUGGCACCUCGAUGUCGGCUCAUCACAUCCUGGGGCUGAAGUAGGUCCCAAGGGUAUGGCUGUUCGCCAUUUAAAGUGGUACGCGAGCUGGGUUUAGAACGUCGUGAGACAGUUCGGUCCCUAUCUGCCGUGGGCGCUGGAGAACUGAGGGGGGCUGCUCCUAGUACGAGAGGACCGGAGUGGACGCAUCACUGGUGUUCGGGUUGUCAUGCCAAUGGCACUGCCCGGUAGCUAAAUGCGGAAGAGAUAAGUGCUGAAAGCAUCUAAGCACGAAACUUGCCCCGAGAUGAGUUCUCCCUGACUCCUUGAGAGUCCUGAAGGAACGUUGAAGACGACGACGUUGAUAGGCCGG
rnacentral:rRNA from 1 species